rfam:Brachypodium distachyon strain Bd21 chromosome 1, whole genome shotgun sequence.
AUAAUACUCCCUCCGUCCCAUAUUAAGUGACUCAAAUUUGUCUAAAAAUGGACGUAUCUAUAUACUAAAAUACGUCUAGAUACAUAUAAUAUUUCAGCACUUAAUAUAGGACGGAGGGAGUAGUAG